CGAACAUGAAUGAGAGAGAGGGAUGGUAAAGGACCCAGCCAACUGCCGGGCAUUACACCGCGCAGGCGCCGGACUCGAGAGUUCCCACCCACAAGCCUUCCGUUUCCCCGGCAGCAGUCCAAGAGUGAGCAGGACCCAGUGGUGUUGAGUGGAACUGGUAUGUCUCCAAGGACGAAAAUUAUUCUUCUGGUGCAGUGGCUAAUGCAUCUGCUGGCUACGACUCUUGGACCUUGGUUCGAAUCCUGACUAGGGCAGUCGGUCCAGUUGUUCAUCUGUCCUUAGGGUUUUCCGACAACUGGGUACCUAGGGAAACCCGGAUGUCACAGUGGUCCUACAUCCUAAGGAUCAGUCUGACAAUGAGAUGAUGUAGAAAUGAAGGAAGUAAUCCAUCUGAAUCCAUUUGAGAACCAUGAAGGCCUCUUAGGUCUUGCUUGGAGUAUGUAGUCGCAGGUAAAGGCCACUCCACAUACCGUUCUUUGGUAUGUAGUGAGAGAACAAACAACCUUAGCAAACUUAGAUACUAAACCAUGCAGUUAUCGCAUCACAAGUUCUCUCCCGUAUCAAUCAUAUUACACAGGCUUGGUACAGUCGCGUUCAAAAGUUGUCACGCGACCCGCUUCGUCGCCAUGAUGAAUGUUAACCAGCUCAGAUUUCUCCUCCAUCACCGGCACUUUGCAAUCCUCUCAUGAUGACACGUCGUUGUUCAAAACCUUUUAACCUGAGCUGGUUACGCUUCAUCAUAACCUAUGACUGUACAUAGUAAGCAGUGAGUAGUGAGACUGUACAUAGUAAGCAGCGAGUAGUAAUCCUUGCCGAUUAAGUUUAAAGAAACCUUAGCCUUAGCCUCAGUGUUACUUCUCACUUCUGGUUAGAAAGAAUUAAAGCUGAGAUUUUAAUGUAGGUUGCUGGUUGGUGCGAGUUUGUAAAUGGCUUUAGUCUCUAAACUUUUUUUUUACUCUAUGGGUCCAUAUAAUCUAAAGGUGUGCUGGAUGACCCUUGAAGAUAAGAAGCAAUAACGGAAGAUGCUUGCACUUGCGCAGUGUUUUCUAGAUGAAGUGAAUGAUAGGGAAUUGAGGAAGGGCAUGGGAUUCGAUACGAACGCGAAUUAAAUGCGGACUAAAAAAGCAA